CGCAUGCCAGGCGAGCGCGCUACCGCUUGAGCCACAUCCCCAGCCCCUCAAAAUUUAUUUUUAUUUAAAAUUUUAUUCCAGUCUGGGAAUUGAACCUAGGGUCUCAUGCAUGCUAGGAAAAUGCUUUACCACUAAGACACAACCUGCCCCACAUUCUUUUUAAAUAUAUAAAACAUAUUUUUAAGAUUCACCAAAUGCAAGGCUAUAAACAAUUAAAAUUGCAGGGUAUGGCUUCUGACUGAAGUGGAAUUAAACUAGAAAUCCAUACCACAAAGAUAACUGGUGUAAUUCUCACUUCUUUGGCAUUGAUGAAGAACCUACCCCCACCCCCCACCGCCCCCACCACCACCAGUACUGGGGAUUGAACCCAGGGGAGCUUUAUCACUUAGUUACAUCCCCAUCCUUUUUAAAUUUUUGAGUCAGAAUCUCACUAAAUUACUAAGACUUGCCUCCAGCUUUUGAUCCUCCUGCCUCAGCCUCCCCAGUCUCUGGGAUUAUAGGCAAGCAGCAUUGUACCUGGCAAUGAAGAAAACUUUUAAAUAAGAACAGAGGAAGUUCUGGAAAAGAUAGCAAGGUUUUUGCUUUUCCCAGCAUUUAGCGCGUAGGAGGGAGCCUCUGUCUGUCCACAUUUCCAAGACAUUGUUGCUGAGAAGGAAAAAAAAAAUGAGAGAAAAAAUAGUUUAGAGAAACUUACAGAAGCAAAAUGGAAAACAAGAGAUUCUUAUCUGGACUGAACUUUGGGUGUUCAGAUUUCUUGAGAAAAUACUUGUUAAAGGGCAUUUGACACAUUCUGGGCAUUAUAACAAACCAAGUGAGAAAGUGAAGAUCAAGUGACUCCCACUGCUGCCUUGGAAGAGGUGACAAGUGACCACAUUCCCACAUUCCCUACAGGGAUGGAGACCAUCCCUGUAGCCAGCAAACUGGCCAGCUGAGUCAAGGACGUCAACUGUGAACCUUCUCCUUUUUAUUAUUUCUUCUUCUUGGAUUUUAUUAUUGUCUCUGCUCUUUGUUUCUCUCCAUACACUAAGUCACUGAGACUGACUGCUUCGCAGGCGGCCAACGGAUGAGCUAUUCUUCAAACUCUAAUGUGACUAAUUUUUUUAUUAGUUAAAUAAUGCAUUGAUGGAAAAGAUGAAUUAGAACAAUAGAAAGGAAUUUACUGAAAAUAAAUGCAUGUAUUUCCUAUCUUCCAAUGUAGUCCUAAUUCUAGAAAGUAAUAAACAAGUUAUGAUUUUAAUAUUUUGGCUUUCUUCACUUAAUUGUAACCAUUUAAUAUUUUUUAUUUUAUAUAACCUCUGUUGUGUUACUUUCUUCUGUCUUUUCCUUUUUAGAUUUUUAGAAAACAAGUUUAACGUCACAGACUGGUAGAUUAAAUAUUUAAAACAGAUAAAUUAGUGGGGUUCUGAAAGAUCUUUAUCUCUAUAGUUGAACUUGAUUAUUGAUUAGCCUUAGACAUGUUUCAAUUUUUUAAUUUGUUCAUUUUAGAUAUUCAUGACAGUAGAGUGUAUUUUGAUGUAUUUUACAUGCAUGGAGUAUAACUUAUUCUACUUAGGUUCCCAUUCUUGUGGUUGUAC
rnacentral:lncRNA from 1 species